rnacentral:sRNA from 1 species
CUGUGGCACGCAGAGGAAGUGGAGCCCUGUCUUCGGUCACACCAUUGAUGGAGGACAGAUGGACAGCCGUAUGGCCAGUCACCUCUCCUCUUAAACCUUUGGAGAGUGGUCCUUUGUCCUCUGCUGGACACAUAAUAGGGAUUCGAACACACUCUCUGAAUUCACUUUUCAUAAAAACGUAAAAUCGGACUGCUCUGUACAACCAGGCUCAACUGUUGCAUGGUAGCAGAUUUGCAAACAUGAGUGCUGAGGGGUACCAGUACAGAGCGCUGUAUGAUUAUAAAAAGGAAAGAGAAGAAGAUAUUGACUUGCACUUGGGUGACAUAUUGACUGUGAAUAAAGGGUCCUUAGUAGCUCUUGGAUUCAGUGAUGGACAGGAAGCCAGGCCUGAAGAAAUUGGCUGGUUAAAUGGCUAUAAUGAAACCACAGGGGAAAGGGGGGACUUUCCGGGAACUUAUGUAGAAUAUAUUGGAAGGAAAAAAAUCUCGCCUCCCACACCAAAGCCCCGGCCACCUCGGCCUCUUCCUGUUGCACCAGGUUCUUCGAAAACUGAAGCAGAUGUUGAACAACAAGCUUUGACUCUCCCGGAUCUUGCAGAGCAGUUUGCCCCUCCUGACAUUGCCCCGCCUCUUCUUAUCAAGCUCGUGGAAGCCAUUGAAAAGAAAGGUAACCAGACUGCUAGAGGGCAUCAGUUCCUUUGUUCUAACCUUGUUUCAUGGCUGUUAUUAUUUGUCUCUUGUGCAUUCAUUAAGUAAAUUUCCUACUACCAGCUAUGUCCAGAUACUCAAACUGUUUGGGGCUAAGUACUGGGAAAAAUGUCUCAGUCUAUAAUUUCUAACUCCAGAUUAUCAUG